CAGCAGCCGCGGUAAUACGAAGGGUGCAAGCGUUACUCGGAAUUACUGGGCGUAAAGCGUGCGUAGGUGGUGGUUUAAGUCCGUUGUGAAAGCCCUGGGCUCAACCUGGGAAUUGCAGUGGAUACUGGAUCACUAGAGUGUGGUAGAGGAUAGUGGAAUUUCCGGUGUAGCAGUGAAAUGCGUAGAGAUCGGAAAGAACACCAACGGCGAAAGCACUCUGCUGGGCCGACACUGACACUGAGAGACGAAAGCUAGGGGAGCAAAUGGGAUUAGAUACCCCCGUAGUCCCUGUCUCUUAUAC
rnacentral:rRNA from 1 species